AGCGAACGCUGGCGGCAGGCCUAACACAUGCCAGUCGAACGAACCUUUCGGGGUUAGUGGCGGACGGGUGAGUAACACGUGGGAACGUGCCUUUAGGUUCGGAAUAACUCAGGGAAACUUGUGCUAAUACCGAAUGUGCCCUUCGGGGGAAAGAUUAAUCGCCUUUAGAGCGGCCCGCGUCUGAUUAGCUAGUUGGUUGAGGUAAUGGCUCACCAAGGCGACGAUCAGUAGCUGGUCUGAGAGGAUGAUCAGCCACAUUGGGACUGAGACACGGCCCAAACUCCUACGGGAGGCAGCAGUGGGGAAUCUUGCGCAAUGGGCGAAAGCCUGACGCAGCCAUGCCGCGUGAAUGAUGAAGGUCUUAGGAUUGUAAAAUUCUUUCACCGGGGACGAUAAUGACGGUACCCGGAGAAGAAGCCCCGGCUAACUUCGU
rnacentral:rRNA from 1 species